AGCGCGGACCCAGGGAACUGUGAGAGGUGCCAGCGCUCUCCUUGGGGAACAUCUCUCAGUACAUCCUUAAGCGCCCGGGGAACCCCACACCAGCCACACGUGUCCCGCCAGCAACACCUACUGAACCAUUCACCUGCCACAGGUCUUGGUCAGUAUCACCUCCUCUCAAGCAGUCGUCAACACCUUCACCUCUCCAGCAGAAGCCACGAUGAAGCUGUUGCUGCUCUCAGCUCUGUUGCUGACGAUUGUUGUUGUGGGAACAACCUCACAGCGCACACUCCACCCUGGCUUAGCUGGACUGAAGAUUUCCUCCUAGUCCAGCAGUAACACGAGAGCAGUCAUCAGGUGAG